UACAGAGAGGGCAAGCGUUAUUCGGAAUUAUUGGGCGUAAAGGGCGCGUAGGCGGCUUUGCAAGUGACGGGUGAAAUCCCUCGGCUUAACCGAGGAACUGCCUGUCAAACUGCAUGGCUUGAGACCGGGAGAGGUGAGUGGAAUUCCCAGUGUAGCGGUGAAAUGCGUAGAUAUUGGGAGGAACACCAGUGGCGAAGGCGGCUCACUGGACCGGUACUGACGCUGAUGCGCGAAAGCGUGGGGAGCAAACAGG
rnacentral:rRNA from 1 species